rnacentral:lncRNA from 1 species
UUUAGUGAACAGAUUUUUUUCAGGUUCACAGCCAGGCUUGCUCUCAUUGUCACCUUCAUUUUCCUGAGAAGAUCACAUCCUCGUUACAGAGAUAGAAGAUGGGAAGAGAGAAGCUGGGAGACUGGCUCUUCUCACCUUAGAGCCAGAGAAGCAGAAUUGGAAGCAACAGGAUUCCUAAUGAAAGUAGGUAUGUCAAGUUAUUAAACUAAAUAUUGAGAGGUAGU